CCCUUAGAUGUUCUGGGCCGCACGCGCGCUACACUGAUGCAUUCAACGAGCCUAUCCUUGACCGACAGGUCCGGGUAAUCUUUGAAUCUGCAUCGUGACGGGGAUAGAUUAUUGCAAUUAUUAAUCUUCAACGAGGAAUGCCUAGUAGGCGCAAGUCAUCAGCUUGCGUCGAUUACGUCCCUGCCCUUUGUACACACCGCCCGUCGCUCCUACCGAUUGGAUGGUUUAGUGAGGCCCUCGGAUCGGCCCCGCCGGGGUCGGCCCACGGCCCUGGCGGAGCGCUGAGAAGACGGUCGAACUUGACUAUCUAGAGGAAGUAAAAGUCGUAACA
rnacentral:rRNA from 1 species